AAUGCCAAUUCGUUAAUCUCCUGGGAGAAGUUCAAUUGCUGUGUAACCAAGGACUCUUAAGUCAGACAGACAAGCUUAUGAUUUCCCUAGAGAGGCACCUUCUGUGGAUCUUCAAGCAAGCUUCAGGAUCAUGGAGCAGUUCCCAGAGGACAGAAGGAAAGACAAGACUUAACAGCUGCCUGGGAAUGACUACUGCCAAUAAUAGGAACACACUCAGUCCACUCUGUCCUUUUAGGAUCAUUCACUUCAAGACAAAUGCUGAGAAUAUCCUGUGGCUUAGCACAUCUCACUUCUGAACAAACUGAGUAAAAUCGUCAUUUCUCUCACUGCGCUCAUGGAAACAAGUGCUGCCACAGCCCCUUGAUGAGACAGCAGAGCCCAGUCAUCUGGCAGCGAUGACUGGCCUCUGGCAUCUGAAGAGAGCAUCAACCAGAGAAAAUGAGUGGAGAAGAGAGAAGUAAACACAGGACAAUCAAUUUCUCACUCCCUGACGGUCUGAGAUUCCAAGUGCCUGAUACAGAAUUCAUUUUGUUUUCGAAUGCUAUGUAAAUGAAUGUUACUAUCCCGCCCUAUAUUCACACCAUUUUCUUGUGUGCCUAGGAUAAGGUUCAGCAGUGUUCCCACUGGCCCGAGUGCUCUGUAGAGCAUGUGAUUCACUGAUGUAAUAUUCUAAGUAAGGACACAUUUCUCAUCCCAACAUGACAUUAUGUGGGAAAAUUUAGCUUUGUCACCUGUUUUUCAUGAGAGCUUGGGAAAGUUGCAUAAACUCUUUCAACUGUACAGUUAUCUCAUCUUUAAAACAAGAAUAAGAAAACCUGAUUUCUUUUUGCUUAUUAUUAGUAGGGACUUGCAAGGCCUGUUCAUCAUUUAAAAUGAACAAAAAAAUUGCAAACUCAGUGACACUAAGAAGCUAGUUUACUCUUCUACCUUAGGAAAAAUAUUUCUAUGGGCUCAAAGAACGAAGACUUCAUACAAACUAUCUGAGUGAAAAAACACAUCACUUGUACAUAAAGGCCUUCUUUGUCUAGUGAGAAACCAGAAGUUAGGGCAUCUCGUUAACUUGCCACUGAAUACUAACUAGCACAACAAUACCAACUAACACAUCUGCUGUGUCAUGAAGGAUGCAGGGCCUUGACCAAAUGGGAUGAACCUGCUUACUCAGUUCCCUCACAGAUCAGUGGUAAGAAUGGAAAAACAAGGCUGACCCCACAAUGUCAGGUAGGAUUUCCAGUUGCAAUUUCCUCCUUCCAUUAAGACAUUUCCAAAACGAAGGAGCUGCUCUUCACACAUGUUUAUUAUAAGAUGUGACUCCACAGAAAAUCACAUUUCUUCUUCUAAAAGUGAGAAACAGAGCUCCACCCAUCAAACAUCUACUUGUGCCAGGUAAUUUAAAUAGCAUGGUACAGGUGCCCGACCCAUAGAGCACUGAUCAUGGAACCUGGGAACUAAUGCAUCAUUUCAAAAUACUCAGGACCUGCAGAAACACCGAGUCAGAUCAUAGCAUGCCAGUUUACUUUGCUGUUCAAGAAGGAUAAUUGAAACCCCAUGCUGUUCCCUGUGCACAAAGAUCUUUUCAAUAAAAUUUUCACAUUCCACCA